UACGGAGGGUGCAAGCGUUUAUCCGGAUUCACUGGGUUUAAAGGGUGCGUAGGUGGGUUUGUAAGUCAGUGGUGAAAUCUCCGUGCUUAACAUGGAAACUGCCAUUGAUACUAUAGAUCUUGAAUUUUCUGGAGGAUAGCGGAAUAUGUCAUGUAGCGGUGAAAUGCUUAGAUAUGACAUAGAACACCAAUUGCGAAGGCAGCUAUCUAACAGGGAUAUUGACACUGAGGCACGAAAGCGUGGGGAUCAAACAGG
rnacentral:rRNA from 1 species